AAACACGGACCAAGGAGUCUAACAUGUGCGCGAGUCAUUGGGUUGAACUCUAAACCUAAAGGCGCAAUGAAAGUGAAGGUAUGCUUCGGCAGACCGAGGGAAGAUGGGGCGCGCUUCUGUGCACCCCCGCAUUCCCGGGGCGUCUCGUUCUCAUUGCGAGUUGAGGCGCACCCAGAGCGUACACGUUGGGACCCGAAAGAUGGUGAACUAUGCCUGGCCAGGACGAAGUCAGGGGAAACCCUGAUGGAGGUCCGUAGCGAUUCUGACGUGCAAAUCGAUCGUCGGAGCUGGGUAUACGGGC
rnacentral:rRNA from 1 species